UACGGGGGGGGGCAAGCGUUGUUCGGAAUUACUGGGCGUAAAGGGCGCGUAGGCGGCCUACUAAGUCAGACGUGAAAUCCCCCGGCUUAACCUGGGAACUGCGUCUGAUACUGGAAGGCUUGAGGAUGGGAGAGGGAUGUAGAAUUCCAGGUGUAGCGGUGAAAUGCGUAGAUAUCUGGAGGAACACCGGUGGCGAAGGCGACGUCCUGGACCGGCAUUGACGCUGAGGCGCGAAAGCCAGGGGAGCAAACGGG
rnacentral:rRNA from 1 species